rnacentral:tRNA from 1 species
UCCUCGUUAGUAUAGUGGUCAGUAUCCCCGCCUGUCACGCGGGAGACCGGUGUUCGAUUCCCCGACGGGGAG